rnacentral:rRNA from 1 species
AGAACGAACGCUGGCGGCAUGCCUAAUACAUGCAAGUCGAACGAACUCUUCGGAGUUAGUGGCGCACGGGUGCGUAACGCGUGGGAAUCUGCCCCUUGGUUCGGAAUAACAGUUGGAAACGACUGCUAAUACCGGAUGAUGACGAAAGUCCAAAGAUUUAUCGCCAAGGGAUGAGCCCGCGUAGGAUUAGCUAGUUGGUGAGGUAAAGGCUCACCAAGGCAACGAUCCUUAGCUGGUCUGAGAGGAUGAUCAGCCACACUGGGACUGAGACACGGCCCAGACUCCUACGGGAGCAGCAGUAGGGAAUAUUGGACAAUGGGCGCAAGCCUGAUCCAGCCAUACCGCGUGGUGAAGAGGCCUUC